rnacentral:tRNA from 1 species
GAGUAGAUAAUUUAAGCCUAAAAUAUAACACUGAAAAUGUUAACAUGAUUAUUAAUCUCUCCUCA